rnacentral:rRNA from 1 species
GAUGAACGCUAGCUACAGGCUUAACACAUGCAAGUCGAGGGGAAACGGCAUUUAGUGCUUGCACUGAAUGGACGUCGACCGGCGCACGGGUGAGUAACGCGUAUCCAACCUACCCAUUACUGUGGGAUAACCUGCCGAAAGGCAGACUAAUACCGCAUGGUCUUCGAUGACGGCGUCAGAUUUGAAGUAAAGAUUUAUCGGUAAUGGAUGGGGAUGCGUCUGAUUAGCUUGUUGGCGGGGUAACGGCCCACCAAGGCAACGAUCAGUAGGGGUUCUGAGAGGAAGGUCCCCCACAUUGGAACUGAGACACGGUCCAAACUCCUACGGGAGGCAGCAGUGAGGAAUAUUGGUCAAUGGACGAGAGUCUGAACCAGCCAAGUAGCGUGCAGGAUGACGGCCCUAUGGGUUGUAAACUGCUUUUGUAUGGGGAUAAAGUCAAUCACGUGUGAUUGUUUGCAGGUACCAUACGAAUAAGGACCGGCUAAUUCCGUGCCAGCAGCCGCGGUAAUACGGAAGGUUCGGGCGUUAUCCGGAUUUAUUGGGUUUAAAGGGAGCGUAGGCCGGAGAUUAAGUGUGUUGUGAAAUGUAGACGCUCAACGUCUGACUUGCAGCGCAUACUGGUUUCCUUGAGUACGCACAACGUUGGCGGAAUUCGUCGUGUAGCGGUGAAAUGCUUAGAUAUGACGAAGAACUCCGAUUGCGAAGGCAGCUGACGGGAGCGCAACUGACGCUUAAGCUCGAAGGUGCGGGUAUCGAACAGG